rnacentral:rRNA from 1 species
GGGCGUUAAGUUGCAGGGUAUAGACCCGAAACCCGGUGAUCUAGCCAUGGGCAGGUUGAAGGUUGGGUAACACUAACUGGAGGACCGAACCGACUAAUGUUGAAAAAUUAGCGGAUGACCUGUGGCUGGGGGUGAAAGGCCAAUCAAACCGGGAGAUAGCUGGUUCUCCCCGAAAGCUAUUUAGGUAGCGCCUCGUGAAUUCAUCUCCGGGGGUAGAGCACUGUUUCGGCUAGGGGGCCAUCCCGGCUUACCAACCCGAUGCAAACUGCGAAUACCGGAGAAUGUUAUCACGGGAGACACACGGCGGGUGCUAACGUCCGUCGUGAAGAGGGAAACAACCCAGACCGCCAGCUAAGGUCCCAAAGUCAUGGUUAAGUGGGAAACGAUGUGGGAAGGCCCAGACAGCCAGGAUGUUGGCUUAGAAGCAGCCAUCAUUUAAAGAAAGCGUAAUAGCUCACUGGUCGAGUCGGCCUGCGCGGAAGAUGUAACGGGGCUAAACCAUGCACCGAAGCUGCGGCAGCGACGCUGAUGCGUUGUUGGGUAGGGGAGCGUUCUGUAAGCCUGUGAAGGUGGCCUGUGAGGGUUGCUGGAGGUAUCAGAAGUGCGAAUGCUGACAUAAGUAACGAUAAAGCGGGUGAAAAGCCCGCUCGCCGGAAGACCAAGGGUUCCUGUCCAACGUUAAUCGGGGCAGGGUGAGUCGACCCCUAAGGCGAGGCCGAAAGGCGUAGUCGAUGGGAAACGGGUUAAUAUUCCCGUACUUGGUGUUACUGCGAAGGGGGGACGGAGAAGGCUAUGUUGGCCGGGCGACGGUUGUCCCGGUUUAAGCGUGUAGGUGUGUGUUCCAGGUAAAUCCGGUUCACUUUAACACUGAGGCGUGA